GGGGUUAUCGAUAGGAGAGUAGAUUCCAACAGCACGGAGGGUAGUAAUCUGCGAAGCUCUUGUGAUGAUUAAGGCAUAUUGUAAAAAUAUAAGGCUUUGUGUGCUUCUUAUCCAGGAACUCAAUAUCCAAAGGCAGGAUAGAAGUUCCAGGCUAGGAAUUUUUAAUAAUUUCUACUACACAAGUCUACCCUUCCUUACUUGGGAGAGACAAGUCAAAGUACCAUUCCACUCGAGUUCCAUUUUGAGUGAGAGCCAGUGAGUUUAUUGGGUUUAACCACAGAGUGUGAUGAGGGGGUACUGACAAGAGUGGGGGCAAAGCAGCCACAAUACUGAAGUCUCAGCCCAGUACAGACAGGGAGGAUGAUAACAUCCUUACAGCUUCAUGGACAGAGUCCUGGCUUCAGCUAACCUUCCAGUCUCCCAGCACUGCCCAAGAACAGAAGGGCCACAUGCAACUAGGGCAGAAUUGCAUACAGCUGUCUGAAAUCAGGUGCGAGGCCCAGGAUCCCCACCACUCCCUCCUACUGUGAAUAAGUAUCAGCGGCCCUUGGAAUCAACCUAGUCCAUCUUGGAGAUGACUUUUGCAAAACACGAAGCCAUUUUGAACGGAGACAGAUGGCAGUUAAAUGAAGUUUAAUUAAAGAAUGAGCGCUUUGAAGCAAA